rnacentral:lncRNA from 1 species
AGACUCUGGAGAGCGAUCUCCUCUGAGCCCACCGGCGUCAUAAACCUGAGUUCUCCAACUCUCCAAGUGCUCGCUUGGUUUCUCGCCGGGUCAAAGAGCUGAUCCACUGCAGCCACAGAGCUGCUGGAGCUGGGACACGACAGCCACAGGGCUGUCGCCAGAACUGAUACGCUGCGGCCCAGGGCUUCUGGGCAGCUGCCAUAACACUGCCACGAGCAGAGGAAAGAGAAGUUGGGCCACGAGCAGGAAAAAGUGCAACUACAGACGGCGGAGACGGUAGCAUUGCACUCGACGGAAUCGCAACCAAACAGUGGCUACACCUUUUUGGAAUCCUGGCAGGUGUGUGAAACUGGCAUGGAAGAAGACCGACCGGGACAUGCGCCUUCCGACAAAUGAACUGGGAGCCUGGGGUCUGUACAAUGCUCCAUUUUAUAAGCCAGGCUUCCCCUGACAGGUGAAAACUACAAAAAUUAGAACAGGGCCCACACACCCCAUUCCUGGUCUUACUUGACAUGGCCUUUAAGGUCUCAGGGAAGAGGCUUGUAAGUAUUGAGGGAAAUUUUUUCCGACCCUAAAGGAACAAAGUCAUCCUCUAGGAACUAGCCCGUGCCUUUGAGAUGCAAAUGUUUUACCUGACCUUCUGAAAUCCUUCUCUCACCAUCUUUUUGAAAUACAAAUUUCAGGAAAAGGGUCUAAGUUGGAAGUUGAAUUCUCAGGGACAAAGAAGUCCUAUGUCUUUUUCAUAAGCAUUAUUAAAAGGGGGGUUAGCCAUCUAGACAGGUGACAAUGAUUUAUUCCAUCUGCCAGAAACCCAGUUUGAACCCAGUGUCUCUUGUAACUGACAGGUUUUAUACAGAUGUACUUUAUUCAUGGCUGAAACUUCGAAAUGGGAAAUAUGAGGCCUCUGUUUUGCUUGUUUGUACGUGUCUUUGUGUGUGUUAUGUAUGUAUGGCAUUGCCAAAAUUAAUUCUUAAAAGAGCUCAACUUAAUUGGAUUAAAGGAAAUUAAGCGCUUACAUAAAUUCUCAAAAUACAUAAGGUAAAUUUUUGGUUCAUGUGAACUGGAAAAUACUCAGUAUUUGAUAUUCAUUUUUAGAUGUUAAUAUUGAAAUUAAAAUUUGGUUUUUUACUUUUAUUUUUUUGUUUUAGGGCCACACCCGAGGCAUAUGGAAUUUCCCCGGUGUGGGGUCUAAAUCAGCUGUGGCUGCUGGCCUAAACCACAGCCACAGUAACAUGGGAUCUGAGCCUGCAACCUACACCACGGCUCACAGCAGUGCUGGAUCCUUAACCCACUGAGUAAGGCCAGGGAUCGAACCUGCAUCCUCAUGGAUCCUAGUCGGGUUCAUUAACUGCUGAGCCACGAAGGGAACUCCAAGAUUAAAUUUUGUUGAUCUAAUUAAUAUAGACAUGUCUUUAGAGUCAUCGACAUAAGUAUAAUACCUAUUGUACCUAAGUUUGAUAAAAGUCAAAUGAGAUACUGAGACUUCAGUUACAAAACAGAGAAACUGAAGUCAUUUAAGACUAUUAAUCGGUAUGUUCAGUGCCAUCCUGAAAUGUUCAACAAGAAAGCGCAUGCCUGUAGAAACGAUAAAAGACAGUCCAUGGUUGCUUCAGAAUGUAGGAAAAGUGCCGGAGGCCAGCUCCAGCAACCAGGUCUGGCAGCCAGGGUGUAUACAUCCCGAUGGGAGAUGAGAUGGGAGAUGAAUGGCGUUGGCUUUUGCAACGGAGACAGCCUCUUUGUCCCUUCUCCUCAGGGCGCUGGACUGCUCAAAUUUUAUUAGCGUAAGUGGUUGAUUAUAUAGGCAGUUUUUUUAUUACAGAUUACAUCAUAGUGUUAAAAGUACAUUGGUUAACUAUUAGGCUUUGUUUUUUGAUCACAUGGUACAGUAGCAAUACAUCAUGUUUUAAAAUCUUCAGUUUAACUAAAUUUAGUGAGUACAAUUCAAGGACAAACAGGCACAGGAUAUCAUAUGGGAAAGAGGAGACCCAGUACAAACCAUCUCAUGGCCAGCCAGUUCCCACAAGCUGAAGAAAUUACAGACACAAAAAACUCAUCUUCAGACUAGUGUCUAUCUUUAAAGUGUCCUUGGCAGGGAAACAGUAUGAGAAAAUACAAAUCAACUUAGCUGCUACCGCUAAAAUUUUCUAAAGUCAAGGACAAAACUCACAGCUGGGUUUCUUUUGAUGAAGAAUAAUAUAUGUCUAACUUCUAUAGACCUCAUUAAAAUCCUAACUUUAAAGUUUACUGUAUAACUAGUUAGUAGAUAAACACGAUGUUUUAAUUAAGUUGGAUUUAAAUAGGGGAAAGUCCUUCAGGAUGAAAUUCUUAUAUUAUUUUUGUAAUUUUGUUGAAGCACAAACCAAAUCACCACAGGAAAAUAAGAAUGGUAAAUAAGAAUAAUAAGCAAAUAAUCAGGAAAGACUGAGGAAAAACUGAAUAACAAAACAACAGGAAAGACUAGGUCACCGAGAAACAAUGCAUGUUCCCCGGUGCAAACAUGGAAAUUGUUUCCCAGGAAAGCCCCAAUUCUUCCCCAUCAACAUCAAAAUGAGAGCCCUGUAACCUGAGGCCUGCCCUCGGCUUGUACUGUUCAGGCAGGCUUCUAUCCUGACCAGAAGCCCACCUUCGGCAUGUACCCUUCAGGUGAGCUCCCUUCCUUGGUUAGGAACCUGCCUUCAGGUUUUUCUGCCGACAGGCAAGGUCCUUUUUUCUGAUUAGGAACCUGCCCUCGGUUUUGCAAGUACAGGCAAGCUCCCUUCCUUGGCUUCUUGUAUCUUCUCGGCUCCCCACAGAAAAAAGUAAGCUAGUUGCAAAACUUGAAUUUGAAUUCGGUCUCUCUGUUAAAACAAGAUUUUUUUGAAAUGCUGCUUUUGAUAACAGAUUAUAUGAAUUUCUUUGCCUUGAAUUUGUAUUUGCUUUUGAAAUCCUUUGUUACGUUGGUUGAAUGAAUAAGUAAUGUGAAACAAUAAUCUAUGAUUCUAUCUGACCAGGUAUUUUUAAACUUUUCCUUGUGUGUUUUUCUUUUCUUUCUUUCUUUCUUUUUUUUUUUUUUUUACAAACUAAGUGUAAAUUACAGGGGA